rnacentral:lncRNA from 1 species
GGAUUCUUAUCAAUAGGAGAGGUUGGGGGAAUACUGGAGUUAUAAACAGAGCAGGUACUGUUUCUGAAGACCAGGUGACUAACCAGAGGGAAUUUUGUGGGUGAGGAAGUUCCAUGCAAUAGGAAAAUUGCUAUUCCACAGCAAUAGAAAAAAUAUAAAGCAGGAGUGGAAGAAAUUAACUGGGUUUAAGCCUUCUAUGUCACUUUCUUGCCAGAUAUACCUACUUCUAACGUGGCUGUCGUUGGUCAUAUCCCACUCCAAAACAUCUUUUGAGCAGAGGAAAUAGACAUGAAUUAUAAAGUGAGAGACAGUUUCUUCUCUACUCUGCAAUUUAGUAGAAAAAAACUUUUACUCAAUGAUAAAUCAGGUAAGUGUUGAUUCAUUCUUUCUAAUGUUUUGGUGCCACACAUGUAGCUGUAAUUUGUCA